rnacentral:rRNA from 1 species
ACACAGGGAUUGCCCCAGUAACGGCGAGUGAAGCGGCAACAGCUCAAAUUUGAAAUCUGGCCCCCGGGCCCGAGUUGUAAUUUGCAGAGGAUGCUUUUGGUGACGCGCCUACCGAGUCCCCUGGAACGGGGCGCCACAGAGGGUGAGAGCCCCGUAUGGUUUGACGCCGAGCCUCUGUAAAGCUCCUUCGACGAGUCGAGUAGUUUGGGAAUGCUGCUCUAAAUGGGAGGUAAAUUUCUUCUAAAGCUAAAUACCGGCCAGAGACCGAUAGCGCACAAGUAGAGUGAUCGAAAGAUGAAAAGCACUUUGAAAAGAGGGUUAAAUAGCACGUGAAAUUGUUGAAAGGGAAGCGCUCGUGACCAGACUUGCGCCGGGCGGAUCAUCCAGCGUUCUCGCUGGUGCACUCCGCCCGGCUCAGGCCAGCAUCGGUUUUCGCCGGGGGACAAAAGCACCGGGAAUGUGGCUCCCCUCGGGGAGUGUUAUAGCCCGGCGCGCAAUACCCCGGCGGGGACCGAGGACCGCGCUUCGGCAAGGAUGCUGGCGUAAUGGUCAUCAGCGACCCGUCUUGAAACACGGACCGAGGAGUCAAGCAUUAGUGCGAGUGUUUGGGUGUAAAACCCGCACGCGUAAUGAAAGUGAACGUAGGUGAGAGCUUCGGCGCAUCAUCGACCGAUCCUGAUGUUUUCGGAUGGAUUUGAGUAGGAGCAUUAACGCUUGGACCCGAAAGAUGGUGAACUAUACUUGAAUAGGGUGAAGCCAGAGGAAACUCUGGUGGAGGCUCGCAGCGGUUCUGACGUGCAAAUCGAUCGUCAAAUUUGAGUAUAGGGGCGAAAGACUAAUCGAACCAUCUAGUAGCUGGUAC